UCAGAUCCGGAGCUCCUUCUUGCU
rnacentral:siRNA from 1 species